rnacentral:rRNA from 1 species
GACGAACGCUGGCGGCGUGCUUAACACAUGCAAGUCGAACGGAAAGGCCCUGCUUUUGUGGGGUGCUCGAGUGGCGAACGGGUGAGUAACACGUGAGUAACCUGCCCUUGACUUUGGGAUAACUUCAGGAAACUGGGGCUAAUACCGGAUAGGAGCUCCUGCUGCAUGGUGGGGGUUGGAAAGUUUCGGCGGUUGGGGAUGGACUCGCGGCUUAUCAGCUUGUUGGUGGGGUAGUGGCUUACCAAGGCUUUGACGGGUAGCCGGCCUGAGAGGGUGACCGGCCACAUUGGGACUGAGAUACGGCUCAGACGCGUACGGGAGGCAGCAGGGGGGAAUAUUGCACAAUGGGCGGAAGCCUGAUGCAGCAACGCCGCGUGCGGGAUGACGGCCUUCGGGUUGUAAACAGCUUUCGCCUGUGACGAAGCGUGAGUGACGGUAAUGGGUAAAGAAGCACCGGCUAACUACGUG